rnacentral:snoRNA from 1 species
CCUGUCUCAAAACAGAAAACAAGAGGUGUGGCUGCUGAGUCACAUGUGUGUCAGUAGGGGGCAGAGAGGAGAAGGGCUCAGUGCUCUGACCUGUGAACACCUAAAGGAUUAGCAGCCUAAUACU